UACGUAGGGUGCGAGCGUUGUCCGGAAUUAUUGGGCGUAAAGAGCUUGUAGGCGGUUUGUCGCGUCUGCUGUGAAAAUCCGGGGCUCAACCCCGGACUUGCAGUGGGUACGGGCAGACUAGAGUGUGGUAGGGGAGACUGGAAUUCCUGGUGUAGCGGUGAAAUGCGCAGAUAUCAGGAGGAACACCGGUGGCGAAGGCGGGUCUC
rnacentral:rRNA from 1 species